AGAGUUUGAUCCUGGCUCAGAAUCAACGCUGGCGGCGUGCCUAACACAUGCAAGUCGAACGAGAAAGUGGAGCAAUCCAUGAGUAAAGUGGCGACCGGGUGAGUAACACGUGACUAACCUACCUUUUAGUGGGGGAUAACUCCGGGAAACCGGAGCUAAUACCGCAUAACAUCGCAAGAUCAAAGCAGCAAUGCGCUGGA
rnacentral:rRNA from 1 species